UUGCUCUUCAACGAGGAAUCCCUAGUAAGCGCAAGUCAUCAGCUUGCGUUGAUUACGUCCCUGCCCUUUGUACACACCGCCCGUCGCUACUACCGAUUGAAUGGCUCAGUGAGGCGUCCGGACUGGCCCAGAGUGGUGGGCAACUACCGCUCAGGGCCGGAAAGCUCUCCAAACUCGGUCAUUUAGAGGAAGUAAAAGUCGUAACAAGGUCUCCGUUGGUGAACCAGCGGAGGGAUCAUUACCGAGUUUACAACUCCCAAACCCCUGUGAACAUACCUUAUGUUGCCUCGGCGGAUCAGCCCGCGCCCCGUAAAAAGGGACGGCCCGCCGCAGGAACCCUAAACUCUGUUUUUAGUGGAACUUCUGAGUAUAAAAAACAAAUAAAUCAAAACUUUCAACAACGGAUCUCUUGGUUCUGGCAUCGAUGAAGAACGCAGCAAAAUGCGAUAAGUAAUGUGAAUUGCAGAAUUCAGUGAAUCAUCGAAUCUUUGAACGCACAUUGCGCCCGCCAGUAUUCUGGCGGGCAUGCCUGUUCGAGCGUCAUUUCAACCCUCAAGCCCAGCUUGGUGUUGGGAGCUGCAGUCCUGCUGCACUCCCCAAAUACAUUGGCGGUCACGUCGAGCUUCCAUAGCGUAGUAAUUUACACAUCGUUACUGGUAAUCGUCGCGGCCACGCCGUUAAACCCCAACUUCUGAAUGUUGACCUCGGAUCAGGUAGGAAUACCCGCUGAACUUAAGCAUAUCAAUAAGCGGAGGA
rnacentral:rRNA from 1 species